ACUGGGCCUAGGAUGAAAGGCGGACGCCUGUGGCGAACUGGUGAACGGGAGGAACGGAAAGGAGGCGGCAGGAGGCGGAGGGCAAGCGCUUCUCCGCAGAACCGGACCUCACUCCUAGGGACCAGGGGUGGGGGCGGAGGGGGCACGAACGGAACCCGGAAGCAAAUGAACUGGAAGUGACGCACCGCACUUCAUCGGUGGAGGCAGGCUGGCCGGGUUGUCAUGGAAACAGGACGGUGCUAGAGAACCCGGACUGACCUGAAGACCCGCGAUCCCAUUUCAAAGAAGGAACGACGGAGGUCACGCGAGACUGGAGAGGGGGCCAUGGGUGUUACUGCUGGCGAUCCAGGUUAAGAUUGCCGAUCGGGGUGGGAUGGUGGAGUCAAGAAGGCUUAGGAGUUAGCAGUUGUUGCUUGCGGAGUACCUGGGUUCCGUUCCCAGCACCCACGUGGCGGGUUACAACCAUCCAGGGCACCAGCACCAGGGGAUCUGAUGACCUCUCUCACCCCCACGGUUCUCUGGCACGUACGGUGGUGCACAUACGUAGAUUCAGGCAGCAUGCUGAAUAUAAAAUAAAAAGUAAAUCGCUA